rnacentral:rRNA from 1 species
CACGUAGGGUGCGAGCGUUGUCCGGAAUUAUUGGGGUACGUAAAGAGCUCGUGAGGCGGUGUGUCGCGUCGGCCGUGAAAACCUGCAGCUUAACUGUGGGCUUGCGGUCGAUACGGGCAUCACUGGAGUUCGGCAGGGGAGACUGGAAUUCCUGGUGUAGCGGUGAAAUGCGCAGAUAUCAGGAGGAACACCGGUGGCGAAGGCGGGUCUCUGGGCCGAUACUGACGCUGAGGAGCGAAAGCGUGGGGAGCGAACAGG